rnacentral:sRNA from 1 species
UAGGAAAACAAACAACCGUUCUGAGCGC